rnacentral:rRNA from 1 species
UACGUAGGGGGCGAGCGUUGUCCGGAUUUAUUGGGCGUAAAGAGCGUGUAGGCGGCUAGAUAGGUCCGUUGUGAAAACUCGAGGCUCAACCUCGAGACGUCGAUGGAAACCAUCUGGCUAGAGUCCGGAAGGAGGAGAGUGGAAUUCCCGGUGUAGCGGUGAAAUGCGCAGAUAUCGGGAGGAACACCAAUGGCGAAGGCAGCUCGCUGGGACGGUACUGACGCAUGAGA